UGCACGGUGGUGCAGUUGGUAGCACAGCAAGAAGGUCCUGGGUUCGACUCCCGGCCGGGGGGUCUUUCUGCAU